CGCCUCGCAUAAGCAACAAGUAGACUAAAAUGGGCUUUGGACCCGUUGACCCCGGUUCGAAUCCGGGCCCGGCUACCA
rnacentral:tRNA from 1 species